rnacentral:tRNA from 1 species
UAGGAACUUAAGUUAAAAAAACUAAUAGCCUUCAAAGCUUUAAUUGAUAUCUAAUCAGUCCCUAC